rnacentral:rRNA from 1 species
UACGUAGGUGGCAAGCGUUGUUCGGAAUUACUGGGCGUAAAGGGCUCGUAGGCGGCCAACUAAGUCAGACGUGAAAUCCCUCGGCUUAACCGGGGAACUGCAUCUGAUACUGGAUGGCUUGAGUUCGGGAGAGGGAUGUGGAAUUCCAGGUGUAGCGGUGAAAUGCGUAGAUAUCUGGAGGAACACCGGUGGCGAAGGCGGCAUCCUGGACCGACACUGACGCUGAGGAGCGAAAGCCAGGGGAGCAAACGGG